GUCCGAGUGGAGUAAAGCAGGCAACUCACUCCCUUCUAGUAGCUGUCGAUCCCGUGGAGUUAUUGGGAGAGUUGGUGGUUCGAAUCCACCCGCGGACA